rnacentral:lncRNA from 1 species
UGUGACUUGAUAUAAAAUUCAGAACUUGUGCACAUAAACAGAGUGAACUUUCUACUCUUUCUUCACAACUUUUCUUCCUCAACUCUCCUUUUUUUCACUUUCCUUUUUUCAUACUUUUUUUAUAACUAAGAACAAGAGCAAAUAUAACACUUGCACACACUUUUUUUUUGAAACAAGACACAACCGUCAGCGUUCUAACUUGACAGGCUCAAAGUUUAAGCGAAGGAUGAUAUCGGUUUCAGAUUUUCCUUAGGGAUUUGUAGAUAUAAAAGAGGCACAAAGGACACACAAAGGAUAUGAUGAUCAGCAACUAAACAAAACUCUAAUGGACUG